rnacentral:rRNA from 1 species
AUACGGAAGGUGCAAGCGUUAAUCGGAAUCACUGGGCGUGAAGCGCUCGUAGGUGGCUUUGUAAGUCAGGUGUGAAAGCCCACGGCUCAACCGUGGAAUUGCACUUGAUACUGCAUUGCUUGAGUUCGGGAGAGGGUAGUGGAAUUCCAGGUGUAGGAGUGAAGUCCGUAGAGAUCGUGGGGAACACCAGUGGCGAAGGCGACUACCUGGACCGAUACUGACACUGAGGAGAC